rnacentral:rRNA from 1 species
GGCGCCUUCGGUGUCCGAGUUGUAAUUUGAAGAAGGUAACUUUGGUUUUGGCUCUUGUCUAUGUUCCUUGGAACAGGACGUCACAGAGGGUGAGAAUCCCGUGCGAUGAGAUGCCCAAUUCCAUGUAAAGUGCUUUCGAAGAGUCGAGUUGUUUGGGAAUGCAGCUCUAAGUGGGUGGUAAAUUCCAUCUAAAGCUAAAUAUUGGCGAGAGACCGAUAGCGAACAAGUACAGUGAUGGAAAGAUGAAAAGAACUUUGAAAAGAGAGUGAAAAAGUACGUGAAAUUGUUGAAAGGGAAGGGCUUGAGAUCAGACUUGGUAUUUUGUAUGUCUUGCUUUCGGGUAGGGCCUCUGCAGUUUAUCGGGCCAGCAUC